GGGAGGGGGAUGGAGUGAUGAAGCGGGUGGAAGAGAGAUAAGGAGAGUGAAGGGAAGAGAGACCUGCUUGGUAUUCACCUGUCUCUCUGGAUCAAUAAAGGAAGCCAAAAGCUGGAAGAUGAGGCCCUUUUUGAAGCAGUUGUCAAGAGGCUUUUUGGAACAUUGGGAAAUAUGCAAGUGAAGAUAAGUGAAGUUGAUAAGGUUGCUGAGGUGUUUACAGUAAAAGGGACUGAGAUGCAAACAAACAAACACAACUCCUUGGCAUGAGUUGAAGAGCGUGUCGCAGAGAUGCUGGAACGAACAAUGGCAGAUGAGAGGAGGGACGGAGAGAGCGAGGGAGAGAGAGGAGACAUGGAUCCUGUGUGGCUCUGUGGAUUUGGCAGGAGUGAAAGCAGUGAGAAGAGCGCUGAUACCAACCAGGCUCAAGCUGUGGGCAAAUCAAGCAUGAAAUCAGGAACAAAGGGAUUCACAGGAUUUGAGGGCAUUAGAUUCACACUGUCUGAGCUGUGUGUGUGUGUGUGUGUGUGAGAGAGAGAGAGAGAGAGAGAGACAGGGGAUCAGGAUGUUGCACUUGUAGUCUUUCUUUAAUAGCCUUAUUGCUGAGGGAUUAGUGAGUUUUAAAUUAAGGUGGUUUUGUUACGGUUUUGUAAAAAUAAUCAUGCUUUAGGAAUGAUUUUGAAAAAACAAUCUAAAACAAAACAGAAUUCCUAUUAAAGGGAGUAACAUCCCAACAAAAUUAAUUAGAAAUUACUGUAAUUCUAGUUUCGAGUUUGUGGGCUUCGUGGUUUUAAUACUUCCAGGAAUAGCGGAUGUCCUGGGAACCCCCAGAUGCUGCAGAUUCAUCUAGUCCAAUCCUUUUACUAACAUUUAAAGUCAGUCAUCAUACUUAAGGGAGAUAACCAUCUAUCUUUUGCUGAAACAUCCACUGUAGGAAAAAUGUGGGGCCACCAGUUGUUUUAUAUUUUUGAGAAUAAUGGAACAAUGGAGUUGGCGACUUUAAACUUUCAGUUCAUUAGAUAACAGAAAAUAGGUAAUGAAUUGUCUGAAUACUUAAAGGGACAAAAUACAGUUUGACUACAAGAUUAUAAACCCUGACAUUAUUGUAUACCACUUAAAAAAAUGUUUGUAAUGUUACUUAAGUCCAGUGAACAAUGAUCAUAUAAUGAGUCAUAGACUUACUAUUGUCUAAAACCCAUCGGUGAACAACACUAGGUGACGUGUUCUUUCAAUAAAAUGAACCUGGGCACAGUAGGUAAUUAUAGGUACUCGCUAGCACACCAAAUCUGAAGCUGAAAAUAGUCCUCAACAAAUGUGCUAUUAUGCUGGUUUGAGGAACAUUCUAAAGAUUAUAAAGUACAUGAAUUACUUUUUUAAAAAAGGUUUAUGCAGAUUUACAUUUUGUAGGAACGAAUGGGCUUGGACCUUAAUGCCACGGACAGACUUAGGAUGUCAGAAAGUAUUGAGAGACGGACUGACGCAUUGUUGGUUUUUGGUAUUUUCAUGGGAAUUGUUAAAAGAACAAUAUAUAAUUUUGCCAUCUGGAUCCUUCAAGUAUAAACCUUUUAAUCAAUGUUAUAUUCCAGCUGAAGAAAUUCUGAAAAGAAAGAACAGAGAUUAGAGAAAGAGUAAAGAGAUUAUGUUAUCAUUUUUGAAAGUGCAGUACUAAUUUUCAAACUGUUUGAAAUUGGCAGCAUAUUUUCCAAGCAGCAUUCCCAACUGAGGUGCUGUGACACAAAGAGCAACCCUAUUUCCUCUCCACUUUGCAGAAUGACUUCAGUCUCCCGGCUCAGCCAAUCAGAUCGACCGGAUGACCUCAAUAUCCUGGUCCACCCGAUCAGAACAUCUAAAUGUGCUCUGGUGUGAUGAGGUCUGCCAUGGAGGUGUCACUAAAUGCCCUGGUUGAAUGAUUUUCCCAGGUCCUGUGCUGUUUUGCCAAUGGCUGACUCAUUUGCAGGUGACUCACCGGCAGAAGUGCGUGAUUUUAUUGGCUGCAUGGGAAAUGUUUUGAUGUAACAGUAGAAUGUUUGCGUGGUUUCCCACUCUGCAGCUGAGGCAAGAUAUCUAGAUGCUGCAAUAUCUACACUUUAAAAAGAAAAAGAUGUCAGGGAAAGAGAGGAAUUUAGCAAUUACAAAAUUCACACUCCAAGAGGUCAUAAAAUACACACGAACACAAAACAUGUUGAAACAUUUUCCUCUGCGCUUGUCCAAAGCUGCUUCAUUCAGAUUAUUCUUCACUAAGCGCCAGGUUGAAUUAUGGAGGCACUACUGGGGGAACACUUUAAUUGAUGUAUGAAUAUGCAAUUGUGCCUCAAUCCUGGGCCUGAAAUCAAUCAAGUAGACAUUCAGAGGCUAUUCUGAGCCGUGCCACCUGCACCUCAUAUUCUGUGGUUGUUUGUGAGGUUAGAAUCCAUUUCUCCUUAACUGCAGUUCUGAAACCCUGUGGCUCCAUAUUUUACCUCAACGUCGAGCCAACCACACGGCGCCAUCUUUAUCUCCUCUAACUGCUAAUGCCGUAUGGUGUAAACAAAGCUGAUUCACUCGUGCUUUUUUAUUUGCAGUAGCAUAGUAGUUAAAUUAACUGCAAAUGUUUUCAUUUUGUAGCACUGUGGUUCAUUAUGAGGGGUUCCUUCCUUAGAGUAAGGAAAUAAUUAACAUAACACAUCUGUUCUUGCAAUGACAUCAUAUGAUCCUUUGUUUUAUUGCUGAUUGAUUUUAUUCUGGUCCUAACAUCUGUUAUUCUCCUGUAACUUCUUAAAUCACUCCUAAAAAUUUUAAAGAUGACUUGCUUGUAGUUUGAGAAAGGUCUUUCUUGUUAAUGUGUUAACUCUGCAAACUCCCUGAUUUUAGACAGUGAUGGAAAGUAACUAAGUAUUGUACAUGAAUAAAGUUGUGAAGUACUUUAA